rnacentral:rRNA from 1 species
GAUGAACGCUGGCGGCGUGCCUAAUACAUGCAAGUCGAGCGAACGGACGAGAAGCUUGCUUUUCUGAUGUUAGCGGCGGACGGGUGAGUAACACGUGGAUAACCUACCUAUAAGACUGGGAUAACUUCGGGAAACCGGAGCUAAUACCGGAUAAUAUUUUGAACCGCAUGGUUCAAAAGUGAAAGACGGUCUUGCUGUCACUUAUAGAUGGAUCCGCGCUGCAUUAGCUAGUUGGUAAGGUAACGGCUUACCAAGGCGACGAUGCAUAGCCGACCUGAGAGGGUGAUCGGCCACACUGGAACUGAGGCACGGUCCAGACUCCUACGGGAGGCAGCAGUAGGGAAUCUUCCGCAAUGGGCGAAAGCCUGACGGAGCAACGCCGCGUGAGUGAUGAAGGUCUUCGGAUCGUAAAACUCUGUUAUUAGGGAAGAACAUAUGUGUAAGUAACUGUGCACAUCUUGACGGUACCUAAUCAGAAAGCCACGGCUAACUACGUG